rnacentral:lncRNA from 1 species
GUGAUUUUUUUCUGUCAUAUCGCCUCAUAUUACAACACAUUUUGUACCAGAAUUGACUUUUCCAACUGUAGGAGCUGUUACAAUAGUUUGUUUAAAAACACAUAUAUAUAUAUACACAAGAUUAUUAUUCUGACAUUUGCGUCUCUUUCACCACCCGUUUGCCAAAACAAAUGUUAUUUUUCCACAACAUUCAUGUGAAGCUUUAUUCCAUUUCAUUUUGUAAUUUCAGCUUGUUUUAAAAAAAAAAAAAAAAUUAAUGGUGACCUGAACCUAACUGUAACAACAACAAUACGCACACACACACACACACAAUGAUCAACAUUUUUCUGCUGAAACACGAUCAGCAGGUCUCAUCUAGUGAAUGAUUGUGAAGCUAACACCAAAGACUCAUUCAGCAGAGAACAUGAUCUCCAGGUGAUUUAAAACACCGUUCAUGAGACACACACACACACACACACACACACACACACACACACACACACACACAGAGUGGUAUGAAGGUCAAUGUGUGUCCUCCGAGGUUUUGUCAACUCUAAUAAUAGAGGGUAUCGGGUUGACAAAGGGGGUGGAGCUUCUUCACAUUCAGACUUGAUGAUCGUCUGAAUGUUUCAACGUCGUCAAUGGUCAAAGUUUCCCUGUUUGGAUUCUUGAGGAAAGUUUUUGUACCGUGGACAAGGUGAUAAUGCAGCGUUUGGGACGUUGCGGCUCCUCCGUACUUCCUGUAGAGCAGCUCCAUGCUGAGGAAGAGGAGGAGGAAGAAGAAGAAGAAGACUCACUGACGAAGGAGGAAGGAGACGAACAGGAAGAAACAGAGCCUGUUGUCACAGAAACGGAGUUGAAGUCGGAAACAAAGGCGGAGCCAACCAAGCCAAAGAAGCCCGAGUCCAACAAGUCUGAGUCUCUUCCAAAGUUCUCUGUGUUCUCCUGGUUCUUGGUCCUGGCUCUGCUCGGAGUGUGGAGUUCAGUGGCCGUCGUUUACUUUGGCGUCGUCGACUAUGAAAGCGUCAUCGGUAAACUGACGGCGUACGAUGCAGAUGGAGACGGAGACUUUGACGUGGACGAUGCCAAAGUUCUGCUUGGUCUAAAGGACACGCCCCCCCUCCGUACAGACCCACCUGAGAAGGAAACAGUUUCAGAUAAAAACCCUUCUGCUGUCCAUGAGACAGACUCUAGAUCUGUGGAUUUAGAGGCUGAAAUACAAGGUUAGUUCUUCUUGUUUAUGCUGAACACAGACCAAUGUAGUGUAGUUUAAGUUUAAAUUAAAACUAGCUUCCAACAUUCUAGUUUUUUAAAUCAAUUCUAUUUUCUUUGUACAGGGUGACUGCAGGUCCCUAAAAAGUCUUAAAUGUCUAUUUUUUUUUUUUUUUACAAAUAAAAGGCCUUGAAAAGCAUUAAAUUGUCUUAAA